CCGAGCAACGCCGCGUGAGUGAAGAAGGUUUUCGGAUCGUAAAACUCUGUUGGUAGAGAAGAACGUUGGUGAGAGUGGAAAGCUCAUCAAGUGACGGUAACUACCCAGAAAGGGACGGCUAACUACGUGCCAGCAGCCGCGGUAAUACGUAGGUCCCGAGCGUUGUCCGGAUUUAUUGGGCGUAAAGCGAGCGCAGGUGGUUUAUUAAGUCUGGUGUAAAAGGCAGUGGCUCAACCAUUGUAUGCAUUGGAAACUGGUAGACUUGAGUGCAGGAGAGGAGAGUGGAAUUCCAUGUGUAGCGGUGAAAUGCGUAGAUAUAUGGAGGAACACCGGUGGCGAAAGCGGCUCUCUGGCCUGUAACUGACACUGAGGCUCGAAAGCGUGGGGAGCAAACAGGAUUAGAUACCCUGGUAGUCCACGCCGUAAACGAUGAGUGCUAGAUGUAGGGAGCUAUAAGUUCUCUGUAUCGCAGCUAACGCAAUAAGCACUUCCGCCUGGGGAGAC
rnacentral:rRNA from 1 species